rnacentral:rRNA from 1 species
AUGAGGACAUCCGCGGACGUCUUGGCGGCCAUCCUGCUGUGGCUCCCUCCCAGCUCCCGGCGGCUGGCCCGCCUGGUCUGCCCGCGAUGGCGCGACGUUGUAGACACGCGCACGACGGAGAUGCAGAGCCGCGCCAAGCCUCUCGUAGUUACGGACGCGGGCUCCGCGCACGUCGUGGACGAUCUAUCAACAGGGUACCAUAGAGUUCUGUGGAAUGGCAUCCCUAGGGAUCUCCCCCACGAACGCAGGAACGUCAUCGUCGGCACCUGCAAUGGCCUGAUAUGCCUGUGCGACAACCGGAAGGUCGACGGCGCCAUCACUGUGAUUAACCCGGUCACCGGCGAAAAGCUGUCUCUCCCGCCGCUGCUAUCCACCACUGGCUCCCCAGGGAGCGGCUACAUCGUAGGCUGGCACGAGGAGUAUGGCUUCGGGUACCACCCAACGACUGGACGGCACAAGGUCGUGCAUGUGGCGGCCUACGAUAGGAAGGGAAACUCUCAUCAAGUGAAGGUGUUCACUUUGGGGGAGUCGUCAUGGAGGGACGUUGCCACGGGCUCUGUCCCGAGAUGCCAAUACAGUGCCGGCAUUGUCGGCGUCAACGGCACCAUGUAUUGGGCUGCGAAGCGCGGAAGGAAGCUCAUGGCACUGGACCUCGACCAUGAGAGUCUCUCUUUCAUCAAGUCGCUACUUGAUGUGUCGCCUGGAAGCUGGAACCUGACGGAGGUGCGGGGGAGGUUGGGGGUGGUGUUUUACUCGUUUCCUCAUCAGUUUUGA